GACUUUUCUGCUCUUACUGUAACCUUCAUAAAUUUGCUAACUUGUCUGCCUUCCUUUCUUCCCAUCAGUUCAUUUUGGUGAAACUUGUUGAAUGAUUUCUUUAACUGUGAUGUUUAGAGAAAAUCCUACUUUUCUUCCUCGAUUUCCCUCCUUAUGCUUGUUGACCUUUAAAAAAACUGUCAUUUGCUUUACUCAGGUAAGACAGAAGUGAGUCCCCUCAUGUGACUGUGUGAGGAGUAGUUUUGUAAUACAUUCAUUCCACUUCUUUGUCAGUUCAAGGUAGUUUGCCUUUAAGUGUACUAUUUUAGCUUAGAUUUUUGAAAGGUAUGUUGCUUUCCAUUUGCCAAAUGAACAUAAAAUAUAACUGCAUCAAUUAGGAGUUGAUAGAUAUGAAAAACUAGUGCUAAGAAUGUUAAAUCUAUUAAAAUUCAAUAGAGCAGGAUCCGAUAAAGAGGACAGAUGGAAGAAUAUGUGUGCUGAAGAAAAAGACUGUUGGGUUGAUUAUUUCUGUUUGUGGAGGAUGGGGGAUAUAUUUUAUGUUGUCCUUACUGCUAUAUCGAAGCACUUGUACAUUUUAUCCUUCUCUGGUAACUCAACUCCCUGAAUCUCAAACCAUGUAAAACUGCUGGGUACUUAAUAUUCUUUUACUUCUUUUAAGGAGGAUAAUCUUGUAUUUUACUCAGAUGUAAAUAUCAGACAAUUGGAAUACCAUUCCAAGUUGAAGAAUAUGAGCCUACAGACAGGCUUCCAAGUUUCCAAAUGCAGUUUUCUAUUUCCCAUGACAUCUGUAAGGAAUUAGCACUUGUUUCAGAUUAUUUUUCUGUGUAUGCUAAUAACUCCUCUAUACCGUAAUAAAAUAGUCUACUUUUCGUAGUCUCAAUUUAUAUUUUCCUGAUACACAGUAAAUUUUUCAGCAAUACCAUAAACUGCAGCUUCAAAUUAAGGUGGGAGGGAAUAAUUUUAUAGCCAAAUUUUGCUCUCAAUUACACUGAGAUAAACCUGGAAUCACUCUCUGAAAGUCAGUGGAGUGAUAUCCAAUUUCACUGGUAUAAUUGAGUGUAUAAUUUGUGUCUUUAAUUUUACUUGCAAGAUAAUUUUACAAACCUGUUAUACUUAUGUUUCCAAUACUUUUUCCUUUCAGACACACCCACUUCUUGCGUCUCAGCACUGGGCAGGCCUAUUCCUUUAUUUGUGUAUAUUUUUGUGCAUCAACUGCUAUAGGACACGGGUGUAACACUUUCAGGCAUGUGGUUGGGUGUCUUUUUGGGGUUUGUAAUAAUGUCUAAAAAUAAGAAUUUCUUUUCCUCAAAUUUAUUAAUGAAUUCAUGUUGGAUCACAGUUUUGCAUCUCUAACCUGAUUUUAGAUACAUAUUAAGUAGAGAUUGUCUUGAAAGAAAUACAGAUCUUUGGUGGGGAGAGUUGAUAAAAAUGUACUGCAUUCUGCAGAAAUUAAUGUUUUGGUAUUUAAUGUUUCUUGAAAGGUGGUUUUACAGAUCAUGCUCCUUCCUCUUCAUGGAAUGGCUUUCAAAGCCUUGUAUUGAUCUUGGUUUUGCCCAGUGCUUUGCCUAGUGUAUGGGGAAAUGUUGUAGAACUUGAAUAGGCCAUGACAUCUUAGACAAAGGAUGAUGAUUAUGUGCAUGCUGAACACGAACUUCUUCUAUAUGCCCUUCUGCUGCAACAGAAUAAUAAAACUGGUAGGUGGCAGCAGCAGCAGCAGAAGAAACUCAUGACUGUGACCUGAGAAACCUCCAGUACUGGGAGAAAUGGAUUGCAAAAUACUAACUGGAGUAAGGGGAAUGGAGGAGAAAGGCAGAGUCCCUGAACUGUCCCUUUGAAUGGAGUCUAAUGCGUGUGAAAGAUGCUGGAUCACCGGUUGCAGAGAUUGAACUCUACCUACUGGAAAGGUUUUUCUGCAGCAACAGGAGGUCGUCUUUUGCCUCUUAUGGGGACAUUUAGCCUUUUGAUAAUGCCUCCAUCACAAUGAAGGGAAGAAAGGAUGGACCAGCAAUGAUGUGGAAUGGAGUGAUGUCCACAUAUGGCAUUAACAGUCAUUAUGAUCCCUGUCCUAAUAACAUGGAUAACUGAAUAAAGAGUUGAAUUGUAAUUCA